AGCGAACGCUGGCGGCAGGCCUAACACAUGCAAGUCGAACGAAGCCUUCGGGCUUAGUGGCGGACGGGUGAGUAACACGGGGGAACGUACCUUUUGGUUCGGAAUAACGCAGAGAAAUUUGCGCGAAUACCGAAUGAGCCCUUCGGGGGGAAGAAUUAUCGCCGAAAGAUCGGCCCGCGUUGGAUUAGGUAGUUGGUGUGGUAAAGGCGUACCAAGCCUACGAUCCAUAGCUGGUCUGAGAGGAUGAUCAGCCACACUGGGACUGAGACACGGCCCAGACUCCUACGGGAGGCAGCAGUGGGGAAUCUUGCGCAAUGGGCGAAAGCCUGACGCAGCCAUGCCGCGUGAAUGAUGAAGGUCUUAGGAUUGUAAAAUUCUUUUACCAGGGACGAUAAUGACGGUACCUGGAGAAAAAGCCCCGGCUAACUUCGUGCCAGCCGCCGCAGUAAUAC
rnacentral:rRNA from 1 species